GCUGGGUGCAGUGGUGUACGCCUGUAAUCCCAGCAGCUCUGGAGGCCGAGGCAGGAGGAUCAUGAGUUCAAAGGUAGCCUCAGCAAUUUAGUGAGGCCCUAAGCAACUCAUUGAGAUCUGGUCUCUA
rnacentral:sRNA from 1 species